GGGCAGUGCAGACAAAAUGCAUUUUGAGGCUCUUUAAAAAAUCAGCAUCGGGAGUCGGGCUUAGUAGCGCAGCAGGUUAAGCACAGGUGGCGUAAAGUGCAAGGACUGGCACAAGGAUCCUGGUUUGAGCCUCUGGCUUCCCACCUGCAGGGAAGUCACUUCACAAGUGGUGAAGCAGGUCUGUAGGUGUCUGUCUUUCUCUUCCCCUCUCCAUCUUCCCCUCCUCUCUCCAUUUCUCUCUGUCCUAUCUAACAACAACAUCAAUAACAAUAACAGUAGUAACUACAACAAUGAAACAACAAGGGCAACAAAAUGGAAUAAGUAAAUAAAUAAAUAUUUUUAAAAAGUAAAAAAAAAAAAAAUCAGUGUCAUGCAUAGUGACUUGUGGACGAA